CGUCCGUCCGUCCCCCUUCCUCUCCCUGUGACCUGCUGCCUACCGCUGCCUAACCGCCUCUCCCCUAUCUCUCGCAUGGCUCUAUGCCUCAAUCCUUCCCUUCCUCUCCAAACCUCCACUCCCCUCCGGCCAGCAGCGGGGGCGGCAGCGUGAGCAGGUAGUGGCGACAGCCCGAGGGGCUGGAGCAGCGGGCGCGGCGUGGGAGGCCGGUAGCGGCGGGUGCGACGUAGCGGCGGCUCGCGUGGGAGGCCUGGAGCGGUGGGAGGCCGGCGGCAGCGGCUCGCGCGGGCACCCUUUUUUUCCGCAAUUUUCCCGCAGACACCGCCGCCCCAUCUCCCCACCCCGUUUUUUUCUGUUGCUUUUCUCACGCAGACAGCCGCCGCCGCCGCGCCGACUCCUCCCGUCGCCCUAUCCCGCAGCCACCGCCGCCCACUCGCCAGGCACGCCUCUCUGCUUCGCCACGCCGGAGCCACGACAUCGCCGUGUCCAUGUUGUGGGCGAGCCGUUCCUCGCUCGCCGCACGCUGCCGUGUCCAUGCUGUUGGCGAGCCAUUCCGCCUCGCUGGCUAGGUCGAUGCUGCCACCACGCCGGUCAGACAAUGGAUACAUCACCGAAUCAUAGACAAAUCGGGUGUUAGCCACUGCAUCACAUGGCGCCCUGAACUCCUGCCAACUGCGCCUCUUUACGCAUCUCUGGGAAGCUCUUUGAUGGUGUGGUUCCUGACCUGGGUUGCGGGUCAGAGUAGUGUUAAUGACCUCAAGGUGUCUGCAGAGGUGUCUAUGCUGCUCAUAAAUACUAUCUUGACUGAGAUCGAGAAUGGAACAUAUCCUAAAGGAUCAUUCUAAAAAAAUCCUAAAGGGUCAUUCUUGAAUGUAGAUGUACCAACAGAUGCUGCGCACCACAAGGGGUACAAAAUUACGAAAGAAGUUACCAGACAGCAAACAUGGACGGUGAAAAGGACAGUGAACUAGCCGCACCAUCAGAGAAUGACCUAUUCAAGAGAGUGGUAAGUUAGCAUUUCCAAAUUUCAUUCUAAUGUUCUAAUCACAUGUGAACUGGAUCUCAUAGGAAUCCUUAAAGAAAGAUACGACAAAGGAGGACUGCGGCCGUGUCAUCCAUGGCGCCCGGCACAUACAGAAGCCGGUUGCGUCCUCCUCCCAGAUAUGGAAGACGUUGUCAUCCCACCGCACCCUCAGCAAACCUGACGCCGCCGCGGUGCCUCCCGCGCAACCCCGGAGAGGGCCAGCGCUAUCCACUCAGCCAUGGACUUGAGACAAAUUGGCUUUGGAGCCUCAGAUCUUCUCCUCCCGUGCCCAGGCAAGGCCUUCUAUCGUUCCGUUCCCCAACUCCAACAUCCAAGAACACAGGAAAGAAAUCAAUUGACUGAGGUAAGCAUUGUUGAUUUCUUAUAUCAAGGAGGACUACCAUUUAAUGUGUUAUUUGUAACCCUGUUACCUUUGACAUUUGUAAUCACUUUUGUGAGAUGGCUGCUGAUUACCAUACCGCAACACCACGAGCACAUGUGUCGGACUUUACAAAUGAGCAUGUGCCUUUGUAAAUAUCUUGCUCUUUCAGUGUUUGCUGCUAAUUUUAAUUGCCAUGCCCUAUUUCUGACAUGGAGCAGCUGAGAUUUGUUCAGACAUAGCCCCUUAGCUCCUCAGCAGAUGAGGGUGAUAAUGUCCUGUCUAAUUGGUUCUGGAGACUCAUUACAUAUGCCUAUAUUGGGAAGAAACUACUACAGCUUCAGAGACUAGCCAAGCCAUACUUCAAGAACCAUAACAACUAAAUUGUUGAACAUUCCUAAACUACCAAUGACACCACAGAGUGGUAGAGGGACUAUUGAUGAUGAGGAAGUUGGAAGGUGCACAUAUUACUGUUCUUCGCAAAAGGUUAUUCAAUGGUUAAUGCUGCCACCAACGCCACCACGGUGCCCGUGGAAUGGAAGGCUGCGUCCUGCUCUCUCGCAUCACCUUUCAGGAGUAUGAAUUGAAGCUGAAGCCUAUGGUUGCUGGUGUGUAGGGUGCUAGCGGCUCAGAGAUCACCAGCCAGUAGCAUUUCUUGGUGUUAAUUUGAACACUGGUGGACAACAAUCCAAAUGAUAUUGCCAUGUACAUAAAUUUCAGUGAUGUUGCUGAUAUCAUAUUUCGUUAUCGUAGCAUGUGUUAUUUGAGAUGGAUA